GAUGAACGCUGGCGGUAUGCUUAACACAUGCAAGUCGAACGGACUCUUCGGAGUUAGUGGCGGACGGGUGAGUAACGCGUGAGAAUCUGGCUUUGGGUUCGGGACAACCACUGGAAACGGUGGCUAAUACCGGAUGUGCCGAGAGGUAAAAGAGAAAUUGCCUGAAGAUGAGCUCGCGUCUGAUUAGCUAGUUGGUGAGGUAAAGGCUCACCAAGGCAGCGAUCAGUAGCUGGUCUGAGAGGAUGACCAGCCACACUGGGACUGAGACACGGCCCAGACUCCUACGGGAGGCAGCAGUGGGGAAUUUUCCGCAAUGGGCGAAAGCCUGACGGAGCAAUACUGCGUGAGGGAAGAAGGCUCUUGGGUUGUAAACCUCUUUUCUUAGGGAAGAACAAAAUGACGGUACCUAAGGAAUCAGCAUCGGCUAACUCCGUG
rnacentral:rRNA from 1 species